rnacentral:rRNA from 1 species
GAUGAACGCUGGCGGCGUGCCUAAUACAUGCAAGUCGAGCGAAUGGAUUAAGAGCUUGCUCUUAUGAAGUUAGCGGCGGACGGGUGAGUAACACGUGGGUAACCUGCCCAUAAGACUGGGAUAACUCCGGGAAACCGGGGCUAAUACCGGAUAACAUUUUGAACCGCAUGGUUCGAAAUUGAAAGGCGGCUUCGGCUGUCACUUAUGGAUGGACCCGCGUCGCAUUAGCUAGUUGGUGAGGUAACGGCUCACCAAGGCAACGAUGCGUAGCCGACCUGAGAGGGUGAUCGGCCACACUGGGACUGAGACACGGCCCAGACUCCUACGGGAGGCGGCAGUAGGGAAUCUUCCGCAAUGGACGAAAGUCUGACGGAGCAACGCCGCGUGAGUGAUGAAGACUUUCGGGUCGUAAAACUCUGUUGUUAGGGAAGAACAAGUGCUAGUUGAAUAAGUUGGCACCUUGACGGUACCUAACCAGAAAGCCACGGCUAACUACGUGCCAGCCGCCGCGGUAA